UGUGAGUGGUGUUUGGGAUGUGUGUGUCGGCAGGCUCCGUGCUUCGCGCAUCGAACUGUCAACCCCCAUUCCUCUUCAUUUUUCCCCCCGCGGUCUGUGUGCCCGGGGGGUGCAAUCGGGAUCCUGUGCUGCUUACCCGAAUCGAUGGAAUUCGGAUGUCGUGCCGUCCCUUGUUUGUCUCGCGACCUUACGGGCCGCGUGGCGGACUUCGUUCUUGCCCGGUGUUCCAAGUGCGCCCCCGAAUUCGGUGCGGCUGCCUUGGGCCAGCGGUGCAUGGUGGUGCUUAAGGAUGCGGAAAGCUAUGUGGGCGUGGGGCCAUGCCCCCUUUAGUUGGAUGCGAUGCGUUUUGUCCCUCGAUGUGUAUGACGCUCGUGCACCGUCUUGGACUCUCUGCUGCCCGCGCGGUACGUUGAGGCCCAUGCGGUGCCGACGUCACG
rnacentral:misc_RNA from 1 species